rnacentral:lncRNA from 1 species
UGUAUGAUAUAAUAACUUAAGAUUUGAUUUGGUUGUAAAUGCUUUGAAUACUUUUAACAAAUGUGAAUAUAUUUCUUAACAUGUUUUCACAGGCUCCAGACUCUCAGACAGAUGCUGAAGCUUCAGUGCCUGUUCUCAGUCCCACCGCAGUGUGUGCCACUGGCACUGGGUCUGCUCCAGACUCUCAGACAGAUGCUGAAGCUUCAGUGCCUGUUCUCAGUCCCACAGUAGUGUGUGCCACUGGGUCUAUGUCUGACUCCGGGACAGAGACAACUCAUCUGCCUCGUUUGUGGUCAGAGGGCCUCCCACCUGAAGACCACAAAUGGAUUGUGGAGACCCUAUUCAAGUUGGGGCCCAAGGGGAAACUAGAGCUUCAAGACAACCUGCAGCUCUGGUACAAUCCACCACAGCCAAGCUAUCUGUACCACCAGGCUCCUGCUCCAGACCACUUUUUUGCUCACUCACUUCUUGUCUGGAUGCCCUACAAGUUGUGGAAAGUGAAGGUGGUCUGUCCCAACCCUCCCUGUGGACGUCACCAACUCACAGGAGGGGGGCUGCACAAGAGGGCACGGCGGGUCCUGGACUUGGACAGGAUCUACAACAUGGUGACAGAGACUCUAAUCUGCACCAAAUGUAGAUCCACCCAUGUGUCUUGGAGCCAGACUGUCCUUACGCAACUGGACUUGGCUCACAGAUCAAAAUUUCAGGUUAUCCUCACAAAAAGGUGAGAAAUGUC